GACGAACGCUGGCGGCGUGCUUAACACAUGCAAGUCGAACGGUAAGGCCCCAGCUUGCUGGGGUACACGAGUGGCGAACGGAUGAGUAACACGUGGGUGACCUGCCCCGCACUUCGGGAUAAGCCUGGGAAACUGGGUCUAAUACCGGAUAGGACCGCACCGUGAGGGUGUGGUGGAAAGUUUUUCGGUGUGGGAUGGGCCCGCGGCCUAUCAGCUUGUUGGUGGGGUAAUGGCCUACCAAGGCGGCGACGGGUAGCCGGCCUGAGAGGGUGGACGGCCACAUUGGGACUGAGACACGGCCCAGACUCCUACGGGAGGCAGCAGUGGGGAAUAUUGCACAAUGGGCGGAAGCCUGAUGCAGCGACGCCGCGUGGGGGAUGACGGCCUUCGGGUUGUAAACUCCUUUCACCAUCGACGAAGGUUUUCUGACGGUAGAUGGAGAAGAAGCACCGGCUAACUACGUG
rnacentral:rRNA from 1 species